GACGAACGCUGGCGGCGUGCCUAAUACAUGCAAGUUGAGCGCUGAAGGUUGGUACUUGUACCAACUGGAUGAGCAGCGAACGGGUGAGUAACGCGUGGGGAAUCUGCCUUUGAGCGGGGGACAACAUUUGGAAACGAAUGCUAAUACCGCAUAAAAACUUUAAACACAAGUUUUAAGUUUGAAAGAUGCAAUUGCAUCACUCAAAGAUGAUCCCGCGUUGUAUUAGCUAGUUGGUGAGGUAAAGGCUCCCCAAGGCGAUGAUACAUAGCCGACCUGAGAGGGUGGUCGGCCACAUUGGGACUGAGACACGGCCCAAACUCCUACGGGAGGCAGCAGUAGGGAAUCUUCGGCAAUGGACGAAAGUCUGACCGAGCAACGCCGCGUGAGUGAAGAAGGUUUUCGGAUCGUAAAACUCUGUUGGUAGAGAAGAACGUUGGUGAGAGUGGAAAGCUCAUCAAGUGACGGUAACUACCCAGAAAGGGACGGCUAACUACGUG
rnacentral:rRNA from 1 species